GAUGAACGCUGGCGGCGUGCCUAAUACAUGCAAGUCGAGCGAAUGGAUUAAGAGCUUGCUCUUAUGAAGUUAGCGGCGGACGGGUGAGUAACACGUGGGUAACCUGCCCAUAAGACUGGGAUAACUCCGGGAAACCGGGGCUAAUACCGGAUAACAUUUUGAACCGCAUGGUUCGAAAUCGAAAGGCGGCUUCGGCUGUCACUUAUGGAUGGCCCCGCGUCGCAUUAGCUAGUUGGUGAGGUAACGGCUCACCAAGGCAACGAUGCGUAGCCGACCUGAGAGGGUGAUCGGCCACACUGGGACUGAGACACGGCCCAGACUCCUACGGGAGGCGGCAGUAGGGAAUCUUCCGCAAUGGACGAAAGUCUGACGGAGCAACGCCGCGUGAGUGAUGAAGGCUUUCGGGUCGUAAAACUCUGUUGUUAGGGAAGAACAAGUGCUAGUUGAAUAAGCUGGCACCUUGACGGUACCUAACCAGAAAGCCACGGCUAACUACGUGCCAGCAGCCGCGGUAA
rnacentral:rRNA from 1 species